rnacentral:tRNA from 1 species
CUUGUAGUUUAGUGCUCAGAGCAUUGGUACGUAAAUCCAAACGUCCCGGGUUCGAUUCCCGGCGAG